rnacentral:rRNA from 1 species
AUUGAACGCUGGCGGAAUGCUUUACACAUGCAAGUCGAACGGUAACAGGUUAGGCUGACGAGUAGCGAACGGGUGAGUAAUACAUCGGAACGUGCCCAGUCGUGGGGGAUAACGUAGAGAAAUUUACGCUAAUACCGCAUACGAUCUAAGGAUGAAAGCGGGGGACCGUAAGGCCUCGCGCGAUUGGAGCGGCCGAUGUCAGAUUAGGUAGUUGGUGGGGUAAAGGCCUACCAAGCCGACGAUCUGUAGCUGGUCUGAGAGGACGACCAGCCACACUGGGACUGAGACACGGCCAGGACUCGUACGGGAGGCAGCAGUGGGGAAUUUUGGACAAUGGGCGCAAGCCUGAUUCAGCCAUUCCGCGUGCAGGAUGAAGGCCCUCGGGUUGUAAACUGCUUUUGUACAGAACGAAAAGGUCUGGGUUAAUACCCUGGGCUCAUGACGGUACUGUAAGAAUAAGCACCGGCUAACUACGUGCCAGCAGCCGCCGUAAAAC